rnacentral:lncRNA from 1 species
UCGUAUUUCCAUUGCAGAGCGAAGGUUCAGCAGUGUGGGUGACUGCACCUGGCCGAGACAUUUCCAGUUUGCCAACUAGUUCAUACUACAACAUUCCACCUCAGGGUCAGCAUGUGACAUUUGCCCCAACUCAGGCUGGCCAUGGCACCUUUACCGGCAUCUAUCACCCUCCACAAGCAGUGACAGCUGCAGGAGUUCAUCCACUGCUACAUCAAUCCCAGACAAUGGCUGGAGCAGUUGAAAUGGUAGGACCUGGAGGCAAUGUUUAUCAGCAACCUCAGCAUGCACAAAUCAAUUGGCCGGGCAACUACUGAGGCUGUGAGAUCUCCCUGACAGCUAAACUAGAUAAUCAAGUCGUAUCUAGUGAUUUUUUCGGGAAACUCCAAAAUAUAGAUGGAGUUCCAUGUGGACAACAUUGCAAUUGGCUGCACUUGAGUGUAAGAGCUGGAAAAAUUGACAAUAGAAUUAUAUCCCACUACGCUCCUAACUACAUUCCUUAUGGCCACUACUUUUCACCAUUUUAUGUCCCACCUCCUCCAGCAAUGCACCAGUUUGUGGGUAAUGGUGCAUUUCCCCAACAACCUCAGGCCAGCACUGUAUAUCCACCUCCCCCAGCUGUGGCUGCUCCAGGAGUGAAAUAUCCUCUUCCCCAAUUCAAACCUGGAACUAAUGCAGCAAACCCAACUCACCUUGUAAUGCCAAGUGCCUACGGAGCAUAUGGCUCCUCUCCAGCCGGUUAUAAUCAUAGUUCUGCAGCACCACCUGCAGGGAAUUCGACCUUUAACGAGGAUCUUGGUUCCUCCCAGUUUAAGGAAAAUAAUGUAUACAUCAGUGGACAGCAGGUUCGCUCCUUCUUAUCUUAACAUCUUCAUUUUUGUAACUUGUCUAUGAAGUUUGAUGGCCUUUUAUUUGAAUUGCUAAAGAAAGAACCUUCCAUGUAUAGAAGUUCAAUUAGGUUUAGCAAGACAGUUACGAAAAGCCUAUUCCAUAAAAUUAGCUGCUUUUCUUGUGUUUAUAUUUUCAGUAUAAGGACUAUCACCUACAUUUGAUUAUAAUUAUGUUUCGUAUUUCCAUUGCAGAGCGAAGGUUCAGCAGUGUGGGUGACUGCACCUGGCCGAGACAUUUCCAGUUUGCCAACUAGUUCAUACUACAACAUUCCACCUCAGGGUCAGCAUGUGACAUUUGCCCCAACUCAGGCUGGCCAUGGCACCUUUACCGGCAUCUAUCACCCUCCACAAGCAGUGACAGCUGCAGGAGUUCAUCCACUGCUACAUCAAUCCCAGACAAUGGCUGG